rnacentral:lncRNA from 1 species
CUCUCAUCAGCCAUUUAAUUGACAAACUUCAGCAUUUUAACCAGCUGGAUACUGAGAAGACAAAAUUGAAGUCAGAGAGAUGGGCUUCCAGAGAAGCUGGCAGUGGGGAUGGAAAAAGUGAGGAGGUGGAAUCAAGUGGGGACUGUGAUGAUGAGGAUGGCUGUCAAGGAUCUGGUGAUAGGAUUCACAUAACAGAUAUACUCAAAGAAAAGAAGACCUAUCCAGAUGAUAGGAGUGAACCAAAACCAACUGUGAAAAAGAUUGACACCACAACCACCACAACCACUGUAAAGUCAUCUUCUAAACACGAUGCUGGGAACGUGGGCAGUCAAGCCACAAGUCCCUCCCUUUCCAUUAUAGCAGCACUAGCAAUUUUGUGGCAUUAUCUUUCGUAGCAGCAUUAUAUGGCAGCAACUGUGCAAACAUUUUUGUUCACUGUCAUUUAUACCUACAGCCUUACCCAACAGAAAACAAAGUUAAAAGGCUCUCUAGUAUUAUAUGGUAUGCUAGAAUAAAUCCUAAAAAAAAUAGGCUGGGAUCGGCUGA